AGUUGGUACCACAACAGGAAAACAAAGUAUUUAACAAAGACUUUGUGUUGAAAAUGGAGACUAAAUACCUGGAAUGGAGACAAGAGAACAGUAUAAAUGCUGAAGACAAGGAGCUGAGACCAGAAGAGAAGUCAGCUCCAGUGCCAGUGAUGUCAGAACUGUGUAAGAUCCCUGCCCUGGCACCCUCUGACAAACUCUUCCCAGGAAACGUUCUUUCCGUUUGAUGAUUCCAUGUUCCUGUUACCGUGGGGCCUCCUCUAGCCUGGAAUUCUGCAUCCUGCUGCUGUCAUCCCAGAACUAAUUAACUCGUAAGCUUUCAUCACAUACUGAAUACUCAGUAUAUUUAUUGAGGAAAUCAAUGAAGAGCGAAAAAAAAGAAGGAACCAACAACUUGAAUUUGGUCGAAUGUCACAUUAACUAAUUGAACAGCCAGACAGUUGGAUGAGCACUCAGCAUGUUACCUGAAGAGGUAAACGUCUUGGAUCGCACUCGUAGGAGUUGAAAAGGUCUCUGUGCCAAAAUGGCAACUUCCGGGAGAGCUCAAUCCGUGGCGCCUGUGCCACCAGUGUCUUUGCCUCCACAGUGAGCCACAGCCGACCCCUGCCUCCCCAGGAGAUCCUCCAAGACCCACAGACUCGGGUUGCAACCUGAAUGACCUCAAAGGCUCACCCAGCCAUCCAACUGCGUUAUCUCCAACCUGCUGCUUUAUGUCAGGGAUAAGAUCUUCAGGGCAACUUAUAUCAAGCUCAAAUAACAUCUGAAGUUUUGGUCUGAUGUAAUAGCCCGUUGCACGUGGCCUCUGCAACCACAGAUGAAAAAGCUAGGACAGGGAAACUCCAGAAAUUAUGGACUCAGCAUCAUUAAGGACUGGAACCAAUGCCAGCAAAUACCUACCUUAAAAAAUAAAUAAAUAAAAGUAGGCAGGAAGAAAGAUGUACUCUUACCACGUUAAGCCACUGUUGCUCGCGAGCUGGUUGACCAAUGCCGAAUGCAGUCUUCACAGAUCAGACUCUCCGUAUCUGAGCAGUUCCAUCUCGGCAGCAACAGGCCCACACUCUUCUGAAGAAGCUGAAAGCGAGGACACACAGAAAGACUGCAUUUCUACAGCGUCCCUUGCAGGUAGAUUGGAACAAAUGUAACUGGGUUCUGAGUCAAGGAAUCUGGGAGGACACAAUGUAGACCACAUCAACGCCUGGCCAUACAGCUUCCCUUUCCUUCCGUAGUAACCUCUGAGGCCACUCGGUUCGGAUGGCAGCCUCACUCUAUGGAAGACUCCUGGAUCCCUGAGUCACCGUUCAGAGGAAAACUGCCCAGGAAAGCCACUUAGCACAAAUCAGACUGUUGUGAAAGAGAAACAUUUGUUGUGUUUAACUUUGGAGACUUAGAGGUGUAUUUGUUGCUAUUGGAACUAAUACACAACUCAAGAAUAAAUGUCUUAAAUACUAUAUGAUACCACUUAUAUGUGGAAUCUAAAAUACAACACAAACAUACAGUAUCUGCAAAACAGAAACAGACUCAGACAUAGAGAACAGACUU